CGCGUAGGCGGUUUUGUAAGUCAGGUGUGAAAUCCCGGGGCUCAACCCCGGAAGUGCAUUUGAUACUGCAAGACUUGAGUAUGGGAGGGGAAGUGGAAUUCCUGGUGUAGAGGUGAAAUUCGUAGAUAUCAGGAGGAACACCAGUGGCGAAGGCGACUUCCUGGACCAAUACUGACGCUGAUGCGCGAAGGCGUGGGGAGCAAACA
rnacentral:rRNA from 1 species